UAUUUAAUGCAGCGGAGUAAGUCCCUCCCUUUUCUCCUCCCGAUCGUCGACGUCACUUCCCCUUUACAGAAAAUAUGGCGGCUGCCAGCCCAAAUGAAGCUGUUGAAUCAGUUCCUACAACAGUUGUCAUCAAGACUGAGCCAGACGACGAGGUACCAUGUAGUCCAAGGGAUGUACUGGUCAAGCGCGACCCAGUCGUCCCUCUGUCGUCCGCGGUCAGCGGGCUGCAGCCUCUCUCCUGGUCGCAGGAUCACCGCCUGGCUGUUUGUACCGCCAACUCCUUGUCGUUGAUUGAGCUGGUGUGUGAUGUCCACAGCAAUAAACAGGACCUGACGCUGCAUAGGACCUCAGUCCCUGUCCCGACUGAAACUUAUGAAUUGCGGGUGGGCCCAUCAGCAGAGAGAGCCCAAGCAAUUGAGAAAUUCUCCAUGCAUCCAGACCCUACAGUAAGGCAAGUUUUUUUGGCUGACAGAGUGAUCAACCCAACAGUAGGUGUGCACAAAGGAAUAAAGUACGCCAGCUGGUCUCCGAUGGGUUGUGACUCUACGGGACGCUGUUUGCUUGCCUGCCUAACUCUUGAAAACAGACUUACCAUUCAUAACAGCCACAAGCGCCUAGAAUGGAAAACAUUAGUCGAUCUCACCAAAAAGUAUGGCGAGAGGCUAAAGGAGCGACAUUACGCCAGAAAAGACGGGAAGCCGCCGGAGGCAGACUUGCUGGAUUUCAGUGAGCAUCAACGACGUUUCCGUAUGCAGACGCCUCUGAGAAUGGAGUGGUCCAGCCUUUACACGAUCAAACAGGUCCAGCCGGACAACACGUGUCUAGACGUGGAGAUGGUCCUCCUCGCAGUCUUGAUGGAAAACGGCGACCUGGUUUUGUGGAAGUUUGUGUUGCCCUUUACAAACGGGGAAGAUGUGGUGUUUUAUGACUUAAUUGAGUCGGGGGUGACCAGACCCAGUGACUUGGCGUGGUGGGAGUACGAAAACGCAGAUCGUCGGAUGAGCGGUCUGAUCAUCGGCAGCGAGGUGGGGCCUGUCAAGAUCAUGCCAGUCAGCCUGACGGGAGUGAAGGGCUACUUCACCCUCCGACUCCCCGUCAUCCUGUGGAAAGAGUGUGAUGAGAUUGCAGUUGAAAACAUCAAAUGUGUCCCGCUGAUCCACCCGAUCCACAAAUCCAGCUGCAGCCUCAUCGUCGCCUCACGCGGCUGCUACCUCUUUUGGUGUUUGCUCAUGAUUUCACCAGCCGGACUAAACAUACACCACUCUCACAUAACGGGGCUGCACUCACUUCCUGUGGUGUCCCUAGCGGUGAGUCAACAUGGCGUUACAGUGUACACAUGCUCCACAGACGGGUCGAUUAAAAGGCUGACGCCAAAGUUUACAGAGACUUCAAUGAUUUUCAAACGAGAGGACCUCCUACUACCUGAGAACUUGACGGGGAGAAGGAUACAUGGGAUUGCGGUGAGCCACAACGGAGCAUAUAUUGCUCUUGUCAGCACACAGGGUAUGACUGGUAGCUUUCACCCCAUUAACAGGACUUACCAGGUUCACUUUGUGACCCUGAAAGCACCAGAAACUGCUGCAGAGCAGCUGCUCAAGUCCACCGCGCAGAACUUGUACGAAAUGACCGACCUGCUCGACCUUGUCAGGUGGCAGAUUUUAAAAGAUAGGUGCAUCCCUGCUUCACUGCAGGAGGAACUCGAUCGGAAAAUCCAGGAAAUAGACUUGCCAUACUUGUGGCGCUUCAAGCUCUUUUUGGUGCGAAUACUUGACCAGUCGCUACAGGAUCGUCAUACAGAUCCCAGCUGGAAACCCACACCUGUGGAUACUAAGGUUUUUAUAAGCGAUGAUGGGGAGGGGGAGGGAAGCGGAGAAGACCAGGAAGUCUCUGGGAAAGAAAACGAGUCUGAUGGAUUCACAUUGGGGAAGGAGAACAUAGAGGAGCAGAGGGCUGAGGCGCAGACCCUAAUCAACACUGUGGAGACCCACCUAAUGAGGGAAAAUAUGAAGAAGGUGUUGGGAGUGGUUUACCUCAACACCUGGAUCGCACAGAACACCAGUAUUCCCACCUGUGGCCUCAUGGAUUAUCUCUCCAGAGACUCUAAUGACAGAGCAUCUGAGGUCCUGAUCGGCCACAUCAAGAAGAAGAUUAACAAGCAGACGUUCUCCGAGCACUGCAGCCUUUGUCAGGCCGUGUUACCCUUCACUGACCCCAAACAGGCCACCUGUAAAAAUGGACACAUGUGGCUCAGCUUUCUCAUGUGUUCGUCCCGGUCUCCUCCAGGUGUGUUUUGUCAUACCGGGCCUGCCAGACGCUGACGUUCAGACGAUGCCUCCUGCAGGAUAGCAUCGCCAGACUGCCAGAGCCUGAGGAUCCAGUGUGGAUAAAGAAGAUCCUCCAGGCGCCCUGUGCGCUCUGCGACUCACCGAUGAUCUAGAAAAAACUGUUCAGGGAAAUGUCGAGCUAUCCGAGACCCUUGAAUCCUAACUUUGUCAGACCUCAUUGUUUUAAAUAUUUUUUUUUUCUUUUUUUAAUGUACAGUUUACAAGUUUUUACUACUCUUAAAAGUGGAAAUAAAAAUAUU